AGAGAGUGAAAAUGACAGCUUAAGCGAAUCACAAGCCCCAGGCAGCCAGCAAGCUCAAUGUGCUGUGCAGUCAUUUCAGUCAGCACACCAGCCUAGGGCACCAUUUCUGCAGCCACGUCGUGAAAGCCCAUUACAGUGG